AUAUUUUAUAAUAUGCUAUGUAAUACAUAAUGUGAAUUAUGGCCUGUUUGAAAUACAAGUUUUUGGUGCACGCUCAGUGGCUGUGUGAAUACUGCCAAUAGGAUUUUCUUUAGUAAAGGGACAAAACUCAACAUUGAAGCAAAGAAAGUAGAAACACCAGCCUAUUACAGAUUUAAUAAGUCAUGUUUGGCAACCGACUUCACAAAACAUGAUGCUGUAAGCUUCACAGACGUUACACCAGUGCGAUAUUCAGGCCAAAAUUACUUCAGCAGCUUCACCUUUAAUGAUUCAGAACCCUGCCCAGAAAAAGACUGUAAGUCAGGAUCAUCCGGUCAAAAUGCUUAUUUUGAAACCGGUAAGUGUGCUUUUAUUUGCACAUUUAUAUAGUCUGCUGUGCGUUUCAUUUCAUUUGCAGUCCAUUACUACUAGUCUGUUACUGCCUGUUGUUUGA
rnacentral:lncRNA from 1 species